GCUGUGAAGUUAUUCCAGUGUCCCCAGAAUCAUCGCUAUCAUAAAAGCAAGCAGAAGCUUCCUCACUGUCUUCUGAUGAUAACUUGCUUGUUCUCUCUAUUUCAUCAUCAUCAUCUUCAUCCAAGGUAAAAUCCUGGUUAUUGAGGUGCUGGUUGAAACGUGUCUGUGCAAGUUUUCGCUUUUCUGAGUUCCCUCUUUUCUCACUAGGCACCGGGUAGACCGGAGCACUCUGC
rnacentral:lncRNA from 1 species